rnacentral:lncRNA from 10 species
GGAGGGACCCAGAGGAAGGCAAUUGAAUCAUGGGGGCCAGUCUUUCCCAUGCUGUUCUCCUGAUAGUGAAUAAGUCUCACAAGAUCUGAUGAGUUUAUCAGGGGUUUCCGCUUUUGCUUCUUCCUCAUUGUCUUUCGCUGCCACCAUGUAAGAAGAGUCUUUUGCCUCCCGUCAUGAUUCUGAGGGCUCCCCAACUACAUAGAACUAUAUUUCUUCAAAGAACAAAAAAAAACCAGUAUGAAGCAUAUGAAACUUCAAGCAGAACAAACUUGGUUUGUCUCCUUCCAGAGAAAAGGGUGUUUCCCCGCACAAGCUCUCUCUUUGCCUGCUGCCAUCCAUGUAAGACGUGACUUGCUCCUCCUUGCCUUCCUCCAUGAUUGUGAGGCCUCCCCAGCCAUGUGGAACUAUCACAGAUCUUGAACGUCUUUCUUUUACACAUUGCCCAUCAGCUCAUUUUAUCCCUGUGGUGACACCCUCAUGCCCUGCCCAUUUCUUCUUGGUCCUCACCAUUUCAGCACACCUGGCUUCUGGCGGAAUCUAGACCAUGCAUCUUUCUGCCAGAGGCUUUGCUCUGAUGGCUCACCAGGGUCUGCACUGCAACAGCCCACAUAUUCCGGGAAUUAAUGCUCCCCAAGAGCAACCUUCAGUGACUAUCCAGGGUGCUGCAUAAACAUCCUUACCCUGAGGCUGUGUCUACACUGUCUCCCAGGGGUCACCAGCUGCUGAAGUGUAACCUGAUUGGUGACACUCUUCUCUUUUCAGUCUUACUUCCCUGUCCCCAACAGUAUUUCCUGGCAUCACCUCCCAAAUAAACUAUUUGUACUUGA